AACGAACGCUGGCGGCAUGCCUAACACAUGCAAGUCGAACGAACCCUUCGGGGUUAGUGGCGCACGGGUGCGUAACGCGUGGGAAUCUGCCCUUUGCUUCGGAAUAACUCAGGGAAACUUGUGCUAAUACCGGAUGAUGUCUUCGGACCAAAGAUUUAUCGGCAAGGGAUGAGCCCGCGUAGGAUUAGGUAGUUGGUGGGGUAAAGGCCUACCAAGCCGACGAUCCUUAGCUGGUCUGAGAGGAUGAUCAGCCACACUGGGACUGAGACACGGCCCAGACUCCUACGGAAGGCAGGAGUGGGGAAUAUUGGACAAUGGGCGCAAGCCUGAUCAAGCAAUGCCGCGUGAGUGAUGAAGGCCCUCGGGUCGUAAAGCUCUUUUACCAGGGAUGAUAAUGACAGUACCUGGAGAAUAAGCUCCGGCUAACUCCGUG
rnacentral:rRNA from 1 species